UGGGGAAAUUUACAAAACAUAGAAGCUUAUUUUCUUCAUUUGUUCUUCUUUUUGUCCUGAUGUGUGCUUCCUGUGAGUUUAUUAACACUCUAAUGAUUGGAUUUAUUUCAUUAUCAAACUGUAUCUGUUGGGAUUUUUUGUCAAUGAGUAUAAAGGAGGAGAACAUUUGCAGGAUAAGCCAUCUUGAUGACCUCACCUAUCCGUCUCGUUGAUGGAAUCUCCGAACCCUGGUGUGUCGAUGAUUACUCACCCUGUCACAGUGACCAGAUGGCCUUUUUCUUGGCUGAGGUCAGUGGCUACAGAGAGGCCUUGUCCUGCAUUGGGAGGGAGAGACACCAGCGCCACCAUGUGGGGACGCUUUGUGAGUGAAGAAGCUGACUUCGCAGCGGAUACCGCACCCGGACAGAAGCAAUGGCCGCUGCAGAACAAACAAAUCAAGAGAGAUGUCUUCUAGCUUAUACUCUCCCCAUGCAGCA